rnacentral:lncRNA from 1 species
GGAUUCGUAUAUGUGGAGGAAAUGUUCUGUAUGACAACCUUUCGCCUAUUUUCUAGCAGCUUGGUUGCAUACUACUCUAUUAUGUAUUGUAUUGAGACUAUAUGGUGUGUAGGGAUGGAUGAGCGUUUUAUACCGCACAUUGUGUGAUGGGAUGGUCGGAGAUGGUGUGUAGAGGUAGGAUUCUGUAUAUUUGUUCUAAUUAUUUGAUUCUGGCAUUUGUUCCUGUAAGGACUUAAGUUCUAAUUUGUAUCUAUCCUGCAUACGAGAAUUUUGUGUUUAUUUGCAUGACUAUCUCUCUUGGGUUACACAUUGAGUUUACGAAAACUCACAUCUGUUUG